AUUGAACGCUGGCGGCAGGCCUAACACAUGCAAGUCGAGCGAUCGGCGGACGGGUGAGUAAUGUAUGGGGACUGCCCGAUAGAGGGGGAUAACUACUGGAAACGGUAGCUAAUACCGCAUACUAUCGGAUAACCCAUAUGGGAUUAGCUAGUAGGUGAGAUACUGGCUCACCUAGGGGACGAUCCCUAGCUGGUCUGAGAGGAUGAUACGCCAAACGGGGACGGAGACACGGCCAAGAAUCCGACGGAGGCAGCAGUGGUGAAUAUUGCACAAUGGUCGCAAUCCUGAUGCAGCAAUGCCGCGUGUAUGAAGAAGGCAUUCGGGUGGUAAAGUACUUUCAGCGGGGAGGCGUUACCCGAAGAAGAAGCACCGGCUAACUCCGUGCCAGCAGCCGCGGUAAUUC
rnacentral:rRNA from 1 species